UACAGAGGGUGCGAACGUUGUUCGGAAUCACUGGGCAUAAAGCGCACGUAGGCGGCACCGCAAGUGUGGGGUGAAAUCCCACGGCUUACCCGUGGAACUGCCUGGCAGACUGCGGUGCUAGAGGUUGGUAGGGGAGAGCGGAACUCUUGGUGGAGCGGUGAAAUGCGUAGAUAUCAAGAGGAACACCGGUGGCGAAGGCGGCUCUCUGGUCCAAUCCUGACGCUGAGGUGCGAAAGCUAGGGGAGCAAAC
rnacentral:rRNA from 1 species